rnacentral:rRNA from 1 species
CCUACGGGUGGCAGCAGCGGGGAAUAUUGCGCAAUGGGCGAAAGCCUGACGCAGCAACGCCGCGUGAGGGAUGAAGGCUCUCGGGUUGUAAACCUCUUUCAGCAGGGACGAUUGUGACGGUACCUGCAGAAGAAGCCCCGGCCAACUACGUGCCAGCAGCCGCGGUGAUACGUAGGGGGCGAGCGUUGUCCGGAUUUAUUGGGCGUAAAGAGCUCGUAGGUGGUUCGAUAAGUCGGGUGUGAAAACUCUGGGCUUAACUCAGAGACGCCACCUGAUACUGUCGUGACUUGAGUCUGGUAGGGGAGUGUGGAAUUCCCGGUGUAGCGGUGAAAUGCGCAGAUAUCGGGAGGAACACCAGUGGCGAAGGCGGCACUCUGGGCCAGUACUGACACUGAGGAGCGAAAGCGUGGGUAGCGAACAGGAUUAGAUACCCCAGUAGU